rnacentral:rRNA from 1 species
CAAUAGCGUAUAUUAAAGUUGUUGCAGUUAAAAGCUCGUAGUUGGAUUUCGGAGUGGGCCAGUUGGUCCGCCGCAAGGUGUGUUACUGACUGGUUUGCUUUCUUCGUCAAAGACUGACGUGUGCUCUUGAGUGAGUUGUGCGUAGAAUUACGAAUCGUUACUUUUGAAAAAUUUAAAUGAGUGUUCUAAAAGCAGGCUAUUGCUUGAAUACAUGAGCAUGGAAUAAUGGAAUAGGACUUUGGUCCCAUUUUGUUGGUUUCUAGGGCCGAAGUAAUGAUUAAGAGGGACAAUUGGGGGCAUCCGUAUUUCGUUGUCAGAGGUGAAAUUCUUGGAUUUACGAAAGACGAACAACUGCGAAAGCACUUGCCAAGAGUGUUUUCAU